GGCAACUUGUGACUUACCAGGGCCUUUCUGUGGCAAUGUACUCACAGAGGAAGAGAAUCUUUUUGGCUAUACCUUGUGUGUUGAUGUUGUGAGAUAUUGAUAGAACUCAAGCUGAGUGUUACAGACAUUGCCAAUGAAGCUCUCAGCCAGAGAUUUGCAUCUGUGGACAUGGUUGCUGGUGGCUGUGUGGGAGAAAAAUUGAGUCUUUCCCCAAGGUGAUAAUUUUGUGCAGCAGAUUGAAGCCCUGCCCUGCCCUGAAUGGAAUCUACCUACGUCUAUUGGGCUGAACUCCAGCAACUCACAGUUGAAAUCAAGAUUGCACUGCUGGGAUGCCCAGAAAAGCUGUGGAUGCCCCAUCCCAUGAGGUUUUCAAGGCCAAGCUGGAUGGGGCUUUGAGCAACCUGGUCUGGUGGGAGGUGUCCCUGCCCAUGGUGAUUCCAUGAUGAACAUCUACAAGGACAAAAACUGUGUGUUUACACUCUUGGACAGAUAUGAUCUUCAGGGAGACAGGAACAUAACCACUAUCUACAGACUGUAUUAAGAUGUUAGACAAUUUUGUGACAAAAUGUUUUUUCUGUACAGACUAUAAGUCAUGCUGGUUUUGAUGUAGCUUUAAAGUGUCUCGUAAGAGAAAUUAGUGCCAUGUCCAAGUGUUUAAAUGCAUCAGAAUAUAUCCUGCUUGAACUGAGGUUAUUAAAAACAAAAUGGGAAAAAGUCCUGGUGAUUAUUAAGCACUGGUGGCCAAUCAGAAAUUAGCAUCAUAUAGUUAUAAGAUUCCAGGAAUUUGCAUUCUAGAAAAAAAGUUAGUUAAUUUUACAGACAGCAUUUUCUUGUGUUCUUUAAGACAGUGACUUGGCAGUUAUAAGGAUAUAGAACCUGGUACAAAUACAGUGUUCUCAAACCACUGCUUAGCUCAUCAGUAGUAUUCUCAUAAUUGCUGAUGUCAUUUCAAACUCAUGCCACAGUUGUGUGUGUUUUUUUUUUUUAAUUUUACAGAGCGUUCAUAUAUCGUACAAAAUACCAUACAAUUUAUAGCAUACUAUUGUGUAAGACAUAAGUGCAAGCAUAACUAGAACUAAUUGUUCUAAUAAUAAAAAAAGAAAAUAAUUUUCCAUGUUAUAAAAAUGCCAUUUUCUACUGCUGAAUAAGAUUUAAAGCCUUUAAGGUAGGAAACACUGAAACCUACUAGCACUUUUCCGGUGGAAGAUAUAUUUUUUCUAGAAAAGCUGUUUAAUUUUAAAUGCUUAGUGUCUGUCUAGAACGACAUACUUGUGCAGCAAAUCUGGUUUUUAAACACGGUUAUUCGUAAUACACUGAACAAAACUUCAUAAUUAAUCUUUCAAUGUCUUUUUGAGUGGCAGGUUAAUAAACAUUAUUCCCAUCAAUGCAGCACUUGACUAGCUCCAACAGUAAAAGCAAAAAAAAAAAAAAAAAAAAAAAGAAAAGAAAAGCCCAACCACAAUAUAUCUCUUCUUUUCCUGCCAAAGAAGACAAAAGACCAGCAUGUAAACCUAGAAGACUGGAAGAUUUAAUAUUAAAAUACCAUUGUAUGAGCUUUUACCCAAACUGGGUGGAGAUGUGUAUUUAAUUCUAAAGAUAGCAAUGCUAAUUGGUAAAAGGGCAAACUUGAUUUUUUUUUUUUAAUUAAAUUUUAUUUUUUUUUCAAUUGCCAAAGCUUGUCUUAGCAGUAGAGCUUAUGUGGGUUUCACAGAGUAGGAUCACACUUUCUGGUUAUAAGCAAUGCCCAGAACGGGACAAAGAAUUGGGUGGCACAUGCUUAAACUGCAAAAUAUGGUGAUGGCUACAGACACAUAGUUCUGUGAAAGCAGCAGGCUGUGAAACUGUGUCACCACUGAAACUGCUGUGACAAGAUGACAGCCAACUCCCAAAAUUAUCAUGAUAGCCUCAUGCAACAGAACCAGCCUGGACA